rnacentral:lncRNA from 1 species
ACACACACACUGCGUUCUCCAUGUGAGAGAAACACAUGGUCUUUUUUUUUUUUUUUUUUUUUUUGUGAGUCUGACUUUUGCUUAACAAGAUAAUAUCCACUUCCGUUUACUUUCCCACAGAUGGGAAAUGUUCACUUUUCCUUUAUGAUGGGAACAAAACAUUGCGUAUUUAACCCUCCUCUGUUGGUGGGCAGCUAGGCUGGUUCCAUAACUUGUUUUUUGUGAUUAUUGUUGUUGUUGUUGUUGCUGCUGCUGCUGCAAUCAACAUGGGUUUGAGGGCAUCUCUCUCACAGGCUCCCUUGGAGUACUUUGGAAAUGUGCCCAGGAGCAAGGUACCUGGGAUCAUAUGGUAGAUCUAUUUUUAGCCUUUUGAGAAACCUCCACAUUGAUUUCUAUAGUGUCUGCACUCGUGAGCAUUCCCCAGACGUGUGGACCCCUUUCCUUUGUAUUUGUUCUUCUUUGAAUAAGUGUCUGCCUCGAGCCUUUCAGACAAGUGGCACCUGACUUGGACUUUUCAUUCACUAGACAGGUUUGUGUCCUCAAGUCUGAGCUGCUUGUCUGCUGCAGUUCAAUCCCAUCUGUGGUCUUGCGUAGCACUGGUUGAGUCCUAACAAAAACUCCUUACUUAUUUUCACACCGUGCUAUGGACUCUGACAGCCUAAGACUAAUAAUAAGCCUGCACUAGAACUGACUUCUUUGACAAGGAAAAACAUAAAUCAGUUGUCAAAUCGAC